UGGGCGAAAGCCUGACGCAGCGACGCCGCGUGGAGGAUGAAGCAUUUCGGUGUGUAAACCCCUUUCGACUGGGACGAAUGCCUCGCAAGAGGAGUGACGGUACCAGUAGAAGAAGCCCCGGCUAACUACGUGCCAGCAGCCGCGGUAAGACGUAGGGGGCCAGCGUUGUUCGGAAUUACUGGGUGUAAAGGGUUCGUAGGCGGUGUGGCAAGUCGGGAGUGAAAUCUAUGGGCUUAACCCAUAGGCUGCUUCCGAAACUGCCGUGCUUGAGUGUGGGAGAGGCGCGUGGAAUUGCAGGUGUAGCGGUGAAAUGCGUAGAUAUCUGCAGGAACACCCGUGGCGAAAGCGGCGCGCUGGACCACUACUGACGCUGAGGAACGAAAGCUAGGGGAGCAAACAGGAUUAGAUACCCUGGUAGUCCUAGCCCUAAACGAUCAGGACUUGGGGUGCCACCCGUUCGGGUGUCGUCCCGGAGCUAACGCGUUAAGUCCUGCACCUGGGGAGUA
rnacentral:rRNA from 1 species